CCCAUGCUGAUGUCCAUGAACUUGGAGGGGAUCUUCCCGACCCAGGAAUCGAAGCCAGGUCUCCUGCACUGCAGGCAGGCACUUUACCGUCUGAGCCACCAGGGAAGCCCAGCUUUGGAAGGUGCUCAGUAAAUAUUGGUGACAGUGAUCACUGAUACUACAGAAGAUGUUCUUCGACCCUCCAAACACUUGGCCCUAGAUUCUCACAGCAGACAAUGCUGUCAAGGAAAAGCCCAGCCUUGUACCAAGUUAUCAAUAUCAGCCGCGACCGGGUGAGGGGAGCCAUCCGUCCUCACAGAGACAUUAGCACGUCUUGAAUCGCCCCUGGAGCCUCUAUUUGAAAGGUGCAUCCAUCUGCAUGCAGCACCGAUGACACUGGCCUUGAUGUGAACAGCAGAGAACUUCAUUUUGCUCGUUCCUGUUAAGACGUGGGCGUCACUUUGUC
ensembl:lncRNA